UACGUAGGCAGCGAGCGUUGUUCGGAAUUACUGGGCGUAAAGGGUGCGUAGGCGGAUCGAUCAGUCAGAUGUGAAAGCCCAAGGCUCAACCUUGGAAUUGCAUUUGAUACUGUCAGUCUGGAGUAUUGGAGAGGAGCGUGGAAUUCUCAGUGUAGAGGUGAAAUUCGUAGAUAUUGAGAGGAACACCAGUGGCGUAGGCGACGCUCUGGCCAAAUACUGACGCUGAGGCACGAAAGUGUGGGGAGCAAACAGG
rnacentral:rRNA from 1 species